CUAAGAGUGUGGGAUGUGGCCAGAGGUGAACGAUUGGAUAUCAUUCCUGCACAUGAUAAGUGGCUCAUGGGUUUGUGUACUACUAAAGAUGGACUGCGCAUUGUUACUACAUCCAAUGACCACACUAUCAAGUUAUGGAAAGCUGAUACUUUAAAUAUUGAAGCUACUUUGAUUGGCCACACUGACGUAGUGGGAGGUAUAGUGGCAGCAGG